UAAAAAACGAGGAGGGUGAGCAAACGCAAGGAGAAACGUGAUGGAGCUCAAACGGGGAGAGAAAGUUUAGUUUCAGUCGAAAGUGGCUACAAGGCUCUUACGUUGGUUUGAGAACGGCAAAAAAUCAAUAAAACCCUUAAACCAUCAGUCCGGGCUAACUGAUUUCGACUGGAAGCUACAGUAAGAGCUUGACCACUCGCCGCCAUAUUCCUCAACGUGGUCUCGAGGUUCAACGGUGUGUACCCAAGACGGACAGCAGGUGGCAGCAGUUGGUCGGAAAAUUGAAAGGACAACGGAACGAACAUCUGAAUUAAACAUGGGAGAACUCACAGGACAUUAACGGGCAGACCCCGUGUCUACAAAAGGGAAUUGAGAAUUUUAAAGUUGCUCUUCAAAAUGAAAGUGAGAACACAGUGGAAGUCAUGCAAGCAACAAUUAAAUGGCAAGAAAAUCUGGUGGCUCAUUCAGAGAGUAUAGGCCAGGACAUGCCUGAUGUGCCACGCCGCUCUGAAAGAAUAAAAACACCAACUGAAAGGAUGCUUGCUUAUCAAAAGGAAGAAUUAAAUAAAAAGGAAAAAAGACUUUUGUACUUAUAUGAACAGUGGAAAAUGGAAACACGUGCAGCAAGGAACAAAUUCAAUUCAGACCUAAGUGAAAUAAUUCUGUCAUCACUCGCAGACAUUAGAAAAGGGUAAAGAUGACAUCAUGAAACUGUACUCUGAAAUAAGGAGCCACGUGGCACCACCAGCAGAUUUACGGAGAAAAAUUGACGCUUGUGAAGCAGUAACAUAAUUGCUAUAUCAGAAACAUGGAUCAAUGAAGAUAAAGGAAUGGAUUUUGAACUGGA